CCAGAAUACUGAUAAUCAAACUCCCAUCUCUUGGAACGCCAUGUGUCAUCAUCUAGACUGUCAUCCUCGUAUGCAAGGUUCUCUGUCGGUCUCAGUUUUUCAAGGACUUUUGGCGACAAAUGUGAAUCAGUGUCUAUGCUGGCAAGAGCGCCACAUACGCCUGAAAGGAGUAAAGCAAGUUGAAUAAUUUUUUGAUAAGUAAACAUUUAAAUUUUUAAAAAUGUUAAUUAUUUAAAGUUGAAAUACGUUAUAACAACGGAUAUCAACAAUUGGGCCUUCAGACUAAUUUAACAGUCAAGUAAAAAGCACAACUUUCGAUCCAAAAAUAACUUGGAAGUGUAUAUAGAUAAAUUUACAUAUAUAUAUCCAUUUUUAUUGCAAUGUGCAGGACAUCGGACUGAUAAGGAUUGAGCGUGAUAUCUUCGCUGCGCUGACUUAUCACUGCACGAUCUUGUUUGAGGUUUAGUGCAGAACUUAGCGUAAUUUGCUUUUAUUUAUAUUGAAAAUUUUAGUCGACUGGAUCUGAUGCUUAAAUUCGUUGGAAAUAAAUUUUAUUAAUUGAAUUCUAUUUUGUCAGGUUGACAGUACGUUGUGCUUAGUAUUUUAAAUCAAGGUGAGUGGAAGUUGUUUUCUGAAUGCGAACAUAUUUAACGCCUUGUUGCUUACCUUCGGGAUAUUUAAAAGUCCAGCGUUCGUUCAGCUGUAUCAUGAAUAGUUUUAAAGCUAACAAAGCAUAAUCAGCUUUUUGACUUCAAGCCAAGCACCCGAGGCAAAUUUUUCAACGAAGUCCGUGGAAAUCUGUACUAUGUUCGGCGUUAUCGAGUAAUUGUUAUAUUCCGAAUCUCCUAUAUUUACGCAUGGCACUAGAAAUAUGUUUUAUCAUCGGCGCUACAUUAAGUUCCGUUAUUUUACAUGCAUUAAUAAAAUAUUCUGAUCUCCGGUCCCCACAUCACUUUGAUACGGAAGGGAAUCGUUUAGCUAAAACAUUAUCUCAAUGUUAUCCAUAUCUUAGGGACAGUAAGUGGAGCUCUACUAUCGAGUUCUCAGUUCGGUAUCAAGCUUGGAGUUGAACAUAUAUAUUGAAACAAUCAUUUAUAGUAGUCCGAAACCCACACUUAUUUAAUUUAUUUGUGUAGAAUACAAUGGUUAAUUGCGAACAGUCAACUAAGCAAUUCGUAAUUA